rnacentral:misc_RNA from 1 species
UAUCGUUUCGUCUGCUUUAUUUGUACAUAACUGUAAAAAUACAAAUUUUUAUUAACAACCUCGUGUCGUGUGUAUCGUCUCAUUUUGAAUUAUCGACUUACUUCUUCGGUGAGAAUAUUUUAAAACUACUAUUUGCUUUGUAUGUAAUAAUAAUUGUGUUUGCUCGCUCAAUUACACCGACCAGUAAUAUAAGAUAGGUAGACGAGAAAUAGUCAAGCAAAUACGCAUUUUUAGAGGUAACUCAACUCAAAUCCAAAUGGGACCAUUUGAUAAGCACCAGCUUUCGAUUAAUAAAAAUCAUCAAAAUCGGUUUACUCAAUAAAAAGUUUACACUUUAAUUUUUUAUAAUAAUAAUAAUUCUUUAUUUCAGACUAAAGU